GAACUAAAGUGAUGCUAGGAAAUUUAUAGAUGGUUCAGGUUAAGAGUAAAGGUAACAUUGAUAUGCAUACUAAAAAAGGUACCAAAUACAUUUACGACAUUCUCCUCAUCCCAUGUUAGAUUAGAAUCUAUUGACUGUGGCACAAAUGUAGAAAAAAGGAAUACUUACUUCUAUUUAAAAAUUAUAAAAAUUAUUAUUUUGUCUCCCUACUUUAAUCAAGAUAACUAUUUGAUUCUCCUAUUUUGAAAAAUGCAUUAGUUAGUCUUUGUAUUUUUGUUUUAUUUACUCUUUACCUCCUCCAAUAAUUUUAGGAGCUAGUUUUUAUUUUAUUAAGUCUAUCUAAUUUGAAAA
rnacentral:misc_RNA from 1 species